rnacentral:rRNA from 1 species
ACCAGACUCCUACGGGAGGCAGCAGUGGGGAAUAUUGCACAAUGGGGGAAACCCUGAUGCAGCGACGCCGCGUGAGCGAAGAAGUAUUUCGGUAUGUAAAGCUCUCUCAGCAGGGAAGAAAAUGACGGUACCUGACUAAGAAGCCCCGGCUAAAUACGUGCCAGCAGCCGCGGUAGUACGUAUGGGGCAAGCGUUAUCCGGAAUUACUGGGUGUAAAGGGAGCGUAGACGGCAGCGCAAGUCUGAAGUGAAAUGCCGGGGCUUAACCCCGGAACUGCUUUGGAAACUGUGCAGCUAGAGUGCAGGAGAGGUAAGUGGAAUUCCUAGUGUAGCGGUGAAAUGCGUAGAUAUUAGGAGGAACACCAGUGGCGAAGGCGGCUUACUGGACUGUAACUGACGUUGAGGCUCGAAAGCGUGGGGAGCAAACAGGAUUAGAUACCCGCGUACUA